rnacentral:rRNA from 1 species
GACGAACGCUGGCGGCGUGCUUAACACAUGCAAGUCGAACGUUGAAGCUCAGCUUUUGUUGGGUGGAUGAGUGGCGAACGGGUGAGUAACACGUGAGUAACCUGCCUCCUUCUUUGGGAUAACGCCCGGAAACGGGUGCUAAUACUGGAUAUUCACUGGUCUUCGCAUGGGGGUUGGUGGAAAGGGUUUUUCUGGUGGGGGAUGGGCUCGCGGCCUAUCAGCUUGUUGGUGGGGUGAUGGCCUACCAAGGCUUUGACGGGUAGCCGGCCUGAGAGGGUGACCGGUCACAUUGGGACUGAGAUACGGCCCAGACUCCUACGGGAGGCAGCAGUGGGGAAUAUUGCACAAUGGGCGCAAGCCUGAUGCAGCGACGCCGCGUGAGGGAUGGAGGCCUUCGGGUUGUGAACCUCUUUCGCUAAUGGUCAAGCCGCAACAAUGGUUGUGGUGAGGGUAGUGGGUAAAGAAGCGCCGGCUAACUACGUG